rnacentral:rRNA from 1 species
UACGGAGGGUGCAAGCGUUAUCCGGAAUCACUGGGUUUAAAGGGUGCGUAGGCGGUGUUGUAAGUCAGUCGUGAAAUUCCCCGGCUCAACCGGCGGGACUGCGAUUGAUACUGCGGCACUUGAAUCAGGUUUAGGCAGGCGGAAUGUGACAUGUAGCGGUGAAAUGCUUAGAUAUGUCAUAGAACACCGAUUGCGAAGGCAGCUUGCUGGGCCUUGAUUGACGCUGAGGCACGAAAGCGUGGGGAGCAAACAGG